UACGUAGGGGGCAAGCGUUAUCCGGAUUUACUGGGUGUAAAGGGAGCGCAGGCGGCUUUAUAAGUCAGAAGUGAAAUCCAUGGGCUUAACCCAUGAACUGCUUUUGAAACUGUAGAGCUUGAGUGGAGUAGAGGUAGGCGGAAUUCCCGGUGUAGCGGUGAAAUGCGUAGAGAUCGGGAGGAACACCAGUGGCGAAGGCGGCCUACUGGGCUUUAACUGACGCUGAGGCACGAAAGCGUGGGUAGCAAACAGG
rnacentral:rRNA from 1 species